GGAAAUUUUGCUGUUUUUGGUUAUUAUCUUGAAUAUUAUUAUAGAUAGAGAUAAAUAGUAAACAGCAAUAAUGUUCAGCAAAGUAAGUUUUACAAAUAAGUCAACAUUACUGAAAUGGUCAGUUGACCCCUUUAGGAGUUAUUGCCCUUUAUAGUCAAUUUUUAACCAUUUUUUGUAAAUCUUAGUAAUCUUUUACAAAAAUCUUCUCCUCUGAAACUACUGGGCCAAAUUAAUCCAAACUUGGUCACAAUCAUCUUUUGUGUUAGUAGUUUGAAAAAUGUGUCCGGUGACCCGGCCAUCCAACCAAGAUGG
rnacentral:lncRNA from 1 species